rfam:Anopheles gambiae M scf_1925491382 genomic scaffold, whole genome shotgun sequence.
AGCCGUCUAAUGCUGGUAGAGAUGGGAUCCGAAGCCCAUAGAGAAUUAAAACAGGCUCUCCCAUUCACCUCCUACGCCGACACGUCCUCGUCGUGCAGUGUGGUAGCAUGUGCCAUCACUUAUCCAAACUUGGAUACAUGGGCAUAACCCAACCCCUUGGGCGAAUGGUGGCAGAUAGCGAACUAGGAGGGG